rnacentral:rRNA from 1 species
ACGUACGCUGGCGGCAGGCCUAACACAUGCAAGUCGAGCGCUACCUUCGGGUGGAGCGGCGGACGGGUUAGUAACGCGUGGGAAUAUACCCAGUUCUAAGGAAUAGCCACUGGAAACGGUGAGUAAUACCUUAUACGCCCUUCGGGGGAAAGAUUUAUCGGAAUUGGAUUAGCCCGCGUUAGAUUAGAUAGUUGGUGGGGUAAUGGCCUACCAAGGCUACGAUCAGUAGCUGGUCUGAGAGGAUGAUCAGCGACACUGGGACUGAGACACGGCCCAGACUCCUACGGGAGGCAGCAGUGGGGAAUCUUGC